rnacentral:tRNA from 6 species
UCCUCCUUAGCUCAGUCGGUAGAGCACUCGGCUGUUAACCGAGUUGUCGCCCGUUCGAGCCGGGCAGGGGGAGCCA